rnacentral:piRNA from 1 species
UAGAACAAUGUUGAAGAGUCAGGAAAGAAA